CAGUCGCCGCGGUAACACGAAGGGUGCAAGCGUUAAUCGGAAUUACUGGGCGUAAAGCGUGCGUAGGCGGUGAGUUAAGUCUGCUGUGAAAUCCCCGGGCUCAACCUGGGAAUGGCAGUGGAUACUGGCUCGCUAGAGUGUGUCAGAGGAUGGUGGAAUUCCCGGUGUAGCGGUGAAAUGCGUAGAGAUCGGGAGGAACAUCAGUGGCGAAGGCGGCCAUCUGGGACAACACUGACGCUGAGGCACGAAAGCGUGGGGAGCAAACAGGAUUAGAUACCCCAGUAGUCCCUGUCUCUUAUAC
rnacentral:rRNA from 1 species